UAUUGAAAAGGGCAAAGCCCGCGAAAGCGGGUGACGCAAAGUCAACGGUCUAACGAGCUCCGGCUCCACGACGGCAGGACUGCCAGA
rfam:Massilia sp. JS1662 GAT78, whole genome shotgun sequence.